UAGGUGAAGUCAAUGAUCCCAUGCUGCCAAGAAAAGCCUCUAGCGAGCUUCGAGCGGCCCGUACCCCAAACCGACACAGGUGGUCAGGUAGAGAAUACCGAGGCGAUCGGGCGAACUGUGGUUAAGGAACUCGGCAAAUUACCCCCGUAACUUCGGGAGAAGGGGGGCCACAGACUGUCAUACCCCACGCGGGUGGCAGCAGUAGGUGGCCGCAGAGACCAGGGGGAAGCGACUGUUUACUAAAAACACAGGUCCGUGCGAAGUCGUAAGACGAUGUAUACGGACUGACGCCUGCCCGGUGCUGGAACGUUAAGGGGACCGGUUAGUCCGCAAGGGCGAAGCUGAGAACUUAAGCGCCAGUAAACGGCGGUGGUAACUAUAACCAUCCUAAGGUAGCGAAAUUCCUUGUCGGGUAAGUUCCGACCUGCACGAAUGGCGUAACGACUUCCCUACUGUCUCAACCACAGGCCCGGCGAAAUUGCACUACGAGUAAAGAUGCUCGUUACGCGCGGAAGGACGGAAAGACCCCGGGACCUUCACUAUAGCUUGACAUUGGUAUCCGAAUUUAAUUGUGUAGGAUAGGUGGGAGGCUUUGAUCCGCGGACGCCAGUCCGUCGGGGAGCCAACGUUGAAAUACCACUCUGUUGACUUUGGGUAUCUAACUUCGGACCGUGAUCCGGUUCAGGGACAGUGUCUGGUGGGUAGUUUAACUGGGGCGGUUGCCUCCUAAAAUGUAACGGAGGCGCCCAAAGGUUCCCUCAGCCUGGUUGGCAAUCAGGUGUUGAGUGCAAGUGCACAAGGGAGCUUGACUGUGAGACUGACAGGUCGAGCAGGGACGAAAGUCGGGACUAGUGAUCCGGCACCUGCGAGUGGAAGCGGUGUCGCUCAACGGAUAAAAGGUACCCCGGGGAUAACAGGCUGAUCUUCCCCAAGAGUCCAUAUCGACGGGAUGGUUUGGCACCUCGAUGUCGGCUCGUCGCAUCCUGGGGCUGGAGUAGGUCCCAAGGGUUGGGCUGUUCGCCCAUUAAAGCGGCACGCGAGCUGGGUUUAGAACGUCGUGAGACAGUUCGGUCCCUAUCCUCCGCGCGCGUAGGAGACUUGAGAAGAGCUGUCCCUAGUACGAGAGGACCGGGACGGACGAACCUCUGGUGUGCCAGUUGUCAUGCCAAUGGCACGGCUGGUUAGCUACGUUCGGAAGGGAUAACCGCUGAAAGCAUCUAAGCGGGAAGCUCGCUUCAAGAUGAGGUCUCCCACCCCUUAGAGGGUUAAGGCCCCCAGCUAGACCACUGGGUUGAUAGGCCAGAAGUGUAAGCCUGGUAACAGGUUCAGCCGACUGGUACUAAUAGGCCGAGGACUUC
rnacentral:rRNA from 1 species